CCAUGCAAGUAGAACGCUGAAGAGAGGAGCUUGCUCUUCUUGGAUGAGUUGCGAACGGGUGAGUAACGCGUAGGUAACCUGCCUUGUAGCGGGGGAUAACUAUUGGAAACGAUAGCUAAUACCGCAUAACAAUGGAUGACACAUGUCAUUUAUUUGAAAGGGGCAAUUGCUCCACUACAAGAUGGACCUGCGUUGUAUUAGCUAGUAGGUGAGGUAAUGGCUCACCUAGGCGACGAUACAUAGCCGACCUGAGAGGGUGAUCGGCCACACUGGGACUGAGACACGGCCCAGACUCCUACGGGAGGCAGCAGUAGGGAAUCUUCGGCAAUGGGGGCAACCCUGACCGAGCAACGCCGCGUGAGUGAAGAAGGUUUUCGGAUCGUAAAGCUCUGUUGUAAGUCAAGAACGGGUGUGAGAGUGGAAAGUUCACACUGUGACGGUAGCUUACCAGAAAGGGACGGCUAACUACGUGCCAGCAGCCGCGGUAAUACGUAGGUCCCGAGCGUUGUCCGGAUUUAUUGGGCGUAAAGCGAGCGCAGGCGGUUUGAUAAGUCUGAAGUUAAAGGCUGUGGCUCAACCAUAGUUCGCUUUGGAAACUGUCAAACUUGAGUGCAGAAGGGGAGAGUGGAAUUCCAUGUGUAGCGGUGAAAUGCGUAGAUAUAUGGAGGAACACCGGUGGCGAAAGCGGCUCUCUGGUCUGUAACUGACGCUGAGGCUCGAAAGCGUGGGGAGCGAACAGGAUUAGAUACCCUGGUAGUCCACGCCGUAAACGAUGAGUGCUAGGUGUUGGAUCCUUUCCGGGAUUCAGUGCCGCAGCUAACGCAUUAAGCACUCCGCCUGGGGAGUACGACCGCAAGGUUGAAACUCAAAGGAAUUGACGGGGGCCCGCACAAGCGGUGGAGCAUGUGGUUUAAUUCGAAGCAACGCGAAGAACCUUACCAGGUCUUGACAUCCCGAUGCUAUUUCUAGAGAUAGAAAGUUACUUCGGUACAUCGGUGACAGGUGGUGCAUGGUUGUCGUCAGCUCGUGUCGUGAGAUGUUGGGUUAAGUCCCGCAACGAGCGCAACCCCUAUUGUUAGUUGCCAUCAUUCAGUUGGGCACUCUAGCGAGACUGCCGGUAAUAAACCGGAGGAAGGUGGGGAUGACGUCAAAUCAUCAUGCCCCUUAUGACCUGGGCUACACACGUGCUACAAUGGUUGGUACAACGAGUUGCGAGUCGGUGACGGCGAGCUAAUCUCUUAAAGCCAAUCUCAGUUCGGAUUGUAGGCUGCAACUCGCCUACAUGAAGUCGGAAUCGCUAGUAAUCGCGGAUCAGCACGCCGCGGUGAAUACGUUCCCGGGCCUUGUACACACCGCCCGUCACACCACGAGAGUUUGUAACACCCGAAGUCGGUGAGGUAACCUUUUGGAGCCAGCCGCC
rnacentral:rRNA from 1 species